rnacentral:rRNA from 1 species
CAGUAGCCACGGUAAUACGGAGGGAGCUAGCGUUGUUCGGAAUUACUGGGCGUAAAGCGCACGUAGGCGGCUUUGUAAGUUAGAGGUGAAAGCCUGGAGCUCAACUCCAGAAUUGCCUUUAAGACUGCAUCGCUUGAAUCCAGGAGAGGUGAGUGGAAUUCCGAGUGUAGAGGUGAAAUUCGUAGAUAUUCGGAAGAACACCAGUGGCGAAGGCGGCUCACUGGACUGGUAUUGACGCUGAGGUGCGAAAGCGUGGGGAGCAAACAGGAUUAGAUACCCCGGUAGUCCCUGUCUCUUAUAC